CCUACGUGCGGCAGCAGUGAGGAAUAUUGGUCAAUGGGCUUACGCCUGAACCAGCCAAGUCGCGUGAGGGAGGACUGCCCUAUGGGUUGUAAACCUCUUUUGUCAGGGAGCAACGCCGGCUACGUGUAGCCGGACUGAGAGUACCUGAAGAAAAAGCAUCGGCUAACUCCGUGCCAGCAGCCGCGGUAAUACGGAGGAUGCGAGCGUUAUCCGGAUUUAUUGGGUUUAAAGGGUGCGUAGGCGGAAUGCCAAGUCAGCGGUAAAAUCGCGGGGCUCAACCCCGCUCCGCCGUUGAAACUGGCGUUCUUGAGUGGGCGAGAAGUAUGCGGAAUGCGUGGUGUAGCGGUGAAAUGCAUAGAUAUCACGCAGAACUCCGAUUGCGAAGGCAGCUUACUAAGCCAUAACUGACACUGAAGCACGAAAGCGUGGGGAUCAAACAGGAUUAGAUACCCCAGUAGUC
rnacentral:rRNA from 1 species